rnacentral:tRNA from 1 species
GGGGCAUUAGCUCAGAUGGGAGAGCGCAUGACUGGCAGUCAUGAGGUCAGCGGUUCGAUCCCGCUAUGCUCCA